GAUGAACGCUGGCGGCGUGCCUAAUACAUGCCAGUCGAGCGAACGGACGAGAAGCUUGCUUCUCUGAUGUUAGCGGCGGACGGGUGAGUAACACGUGGAUAACCUACCUAUAAGACUGGGAUAACUUCGGGAAACCGGAGCUAAUACCGGAUAAUAUUUUGAACCGCAUGGUUCAAAAGUGAAAGACGGUCUUGCUGUCACUUAUAGAUGGAUCCGCGCUGCAUUAGCUAGUUGGUAAGGUAACGGCUUACCAAGGCAACGAUGCAUAGCCGACCUGAGAGGGUGAUCGGCCACACUGGAACUGAGGCACGGUCCAGACUCCUACGGGAGGCAGCAGUAGGGAAUCUUCCGCAAUGGGCGAAAGCCUGACGGAGCAACGCCGCGUGAGUGAUGAAGGUCUUCGGAUCGUAAAACUCUGUUAUUAGGGAAGAACAUAUGUGUAAGUAACUGUGCACAUCUUGACGGUACCUAAUCAGAAAGCCACGGCUAACUACGUG
rnacentral:rRNA from 1 species